rnacentral:rRNA from 1 species
UGGGGAAUCUUCCGCAAUGGGCGCAAGCCUGACGGAGCAACGCCGCGUGAGUGAAGAAGGUCUUCGGAUCGUAAAGCUCUGUUGACGGGGACGAACGUGCGGAGUGCGAAUAGCGCUUUGUAAUGACGGUACCUGUCGAGGAAGCCACGGCUAACUACGUGCCAGCAGCCGCGGUAAUACGUAGGUGGCGAGCGUUGUCCGGAAUCAUUGGGCGUAAAGGGAGCGCAGGCGGGCCGGUAAGUCUUACUUAAAAGUGCGGGGCUCAACCCCGUGAUGGGAGAGAAACUAUCGGUCUUGAGUACAGGAGAGGAAAGCGGAAUUCCCAGUGUAGCGGUGAAAUGCGUAGAUAUUGGGAAGAACACCAGUGGCGAAGGCGGCUUUCUGGACUGCAACUGACGCUGAGGCUCGAAAGCCAGGGGAGCGAACG